GGCUCAGAUUGAACGCUGGCGGCAUGCCUUACACAUGCAAGUCGAACGGCUGCACGGGGCAACCUGGUGGCGAGUGGCGAACGGGUGAGUAAUGCAUCGGAACGUGCCAUUGAGUGGGGGAUAACGUAGCGAAAGUUGCGCUAAUACCGCAUAUUCUGUGAGCAGGAAAGCAGGGGACCGCAAGGCCUUGCGCUCUUUGAGCGGCCGAUGUCAGAUUAGCUAGUUGGUGAGGUAACGGCUUACCAAGGCGACGAUCUGUAGCGGGUCUGAGAGGAUGAUCCGCCACACUGGAACUGAGACACGGUCCAGACUCCUACGGGGGGCAGCAGUGGGGAAUUUUGGACAAUGGGCGCAAGCCUGAUCCAGCCAUGCCGCGUGAGUGAAGGAGGCCUUCGGGUUGUAAAGCUCUUUCGGCCGGGAAGAAAUCGCAUGGGUUAAUACCCUGUGUGGAUGACGGUACCGGAAUAAGAAGCACCGGCUAACUACGUG
rnacentral:rRNA from 1 species